AAAUGCGAUAAGUAAUGUGAAUUGCAGAAUUCAGUGAAUCAUCGAAUCUUUGAACGCACCUUGCGCUCCUUGGUAUUCCUUGGAGCAUGCCUGUUUGAGUAUCAUGAAAUCUUCAAAGUAAAUCUUUUGUUAACUCAAUUGGUUUCUACUUUGGUAUUGGAGGUCUUUGCAGCUUCACACCUGCUCCUCUUUGUUCAUUAGCUGGAUCUCAGUGUUAUGCUUGGUUCCACUCGGCGUGAUAAGUUAUCUAUCGCCGAGGACACUGUAAAAGGUGGCCAAGGUAAAUGCAGAUGAACCGCUUCUAAUAGUCCAUUGACUUGGACAAUACUUUUAUGACCUGAUCUCAAAUCAGGUAGGACUACCCGCUGAACUUAAGC
rnacentral:misc_RNA from 1 species